rnacentral:tRNA from 1 species
GGGACGUUAGCUCAAUGGUUAGAGCAGGGGACUCAUAAUCCCUUGGUUGUAGGUUCGAGUCCUACACGUCCCA